GUUGAGGGCGAACCGGCGCACCGCAAGCUGGGACGUGUGGUUUCAGCUCGUGCGCCUCCCCGCGGGUUUGCGACGUUUAGCGACUAUUGCGCCUGCGCCAGCGCCGGCUGCGCGACUGGGGCCGUGGCUGCUGGUCCUGGGUGAUGCUAGGCGGCUCCCUGGGCUCCAGGCUGUUGCGGGGUGUAGGUGGGAGUCGCGGACGGUUCGGGGCGCGAGGUGUCCGCGAAGGUGGCGCAGCCAUGGCGGCAGGGGAGAGCAUGGCUCAGCGGAUGGUCUGGGUUGACCUGGAGAUGACAGGAUUGGACAUUGAGAAGGACCAGAUUAUUGAGAUGGCCUGUCUGAUAACUGACUCUGAUCUCAACAUUUUGGCUGAAGGUCCUAACCUGAUUAUAAAACAACCAGAUGAGUUGCUGGACAGCAUGUCAGAUUGGUGUAAGGAGCAUCACGGGAAGUCUGGCCUUACCAAGGCAGUGAAGGAGAGUACAAUUACAUUGCAGCAGGCAGAGUAUGAAUUUCUGUCCUUUGUACGACAGCAGACUCCUCCAGGGCUCUGUCCACUUGCAGGAAAUUCAGUUCAUGAAGAUAAGAAGUUUCUUGACAAAUACAUGCCCCAGUUCAUGAAACAUCUUCAUUAUAGAAUAAUUGAUGUGAGCACUGUUAAAGAACUGUGCAGACGCUGGUACCCAGAAGAAUAUGAAUUUGCACCAAAGAAGGCUGCUUCUCAUAGGGCACUUGAUGACAUUAGUGAAAGCAUCAAAGAGCUUCAGUUUUACCGAAAUAACAUCUUCAAGAAGAAAAUAGAUGAAAAGAAGAGGAAAAUUAUAGAAAAUGGGGAAAAUGAGAAGACCGUGAGUUGAUGCCAGUUGUCAUGCUGCCACUACAUAGCUAUCUGGAGGCAACUUCUGGUGGUUUUUUUUUUUUCUCACGCUGAUGGCUUGGCAGAGCACCUUCGGUUAACUUGCAUCUCCAGAUUGAUUACUCAAGCAGACAGCACACGAAAUACUAUUUUUCUCCUAAUAUGCUGUUUCCAUUAUGACACAGCAGCUCCUUUGGGGAAGAUGGUCAUUUGGCUGUGAUGAUGUGGCCCCGAUUGCAGAAUUGAGUUGGAGGCCGAAGCAUGUGAGCUCUGAUCCUUGCCAGUUCCGGGACAUUUGGAAACGUCUGGAGAUAUGUUUGUUGGCACAACUGGGAGGAGACUGCUACUGGCAUCUAGUACGUUAGAGACCAAGGAUUCUACUGAACAUUCUAAAAUGCACAGGAUAGUCCCCACAACAGAUUAUCAGUCCCCAAAUACAGUGUCAAGAUUACAAACCCUGUUUCAAAUAUUUAAUAAAUAUUAAGUAACUUAAUCUUCAUAGCAACCCUGUGAAAGCUGCUCAUUUUUCAGGUAAGGAAAUGGAGGCAGAUAAAUAACUUGCCCAGUGUCAUAUCUGAUGGAGACUCCAGGCCAAAGGGAAAUAUGCAUGUUUGAAAAAUGCAAACAUUCCAGAGAAGAGCAGUUACAUUACCACUAGCCUAAAUAAAAUUUAAGGUGAAAUGAUUUACAGACAGGGUAAUUUUUUAACAAAAAGGCAUAAUUCACAAUGAAAAUAGUUAUAAAACUUUGGACACUAAAUAGUA